CGACCUCUUCCACGCGUCAUUCUCCACCAGAGUGGCUCGCUUGUGAGCGUGCUGGCAGGAUAUGGCAGCAUCUUCGGUUGUGCAUCAAGAAUUCUGCAUAGCAAGUUUGUAUGAAGGUCUGCUUAUUCACAGGCAAAUUGUUGUAUGCUAUGGAGGUACAUUUGUGGCUUUUUGUCGAGAGCAAAACUUUUUUAUUUUCUAUCAAAAAUAAUUGUUUUGAAAGCAAAAACGAGGCUUCAAAGUAGAACAACUUUUUUGCAAUCAAAUAUUUUGUAAUAUAGCGCAAAACGUUAUGCAUUUUAUUCAGAUAAAAUAUUUAGAGAAUUUUUUUUAAAUUUGAAAACAAAACUUUCGCUAUCAACACCGUCCAUUUUGGCCAUUUUUUGAAUGUCAGUUUGGCUACAACCAAUACUGUUCAGCCUUUCUUUCCGACACAAAGGAAGUCAUAGCGGACACCUACGAAGGACUGUGUGAUGAUGGCAUCUCAGAAGGAUGGAAGAACAUAAUAUGUCUGUCAGGGAAUGCUAUUCUGAUAUGUCAGAUGAAGAGUUUGACCAGAAAGUCGGGGCCAUUAAGGCGAGGAUGUCCCAUGUGGGCUUUACAAUGGUCAAAGAAGUCUCCAAGCAAUGGGCCAUCGUGUACAAUGGCGAAGAGUUAGGGAGUCUCUGCAGCGUGUAGAUGGUGCAGGUAUCAUUGCCAGAAUAAUCCAGCUUUGUUGCAUUGCUCGGCAAAAAUACUCUGUUCCUGCUCUCCUGUCUCUCGUCCACAUUGAUACAAAUCAUAAAUUGAUAAGGUACAACGUUGUCAUCUUUGGCGGAAUAUAUAGAUUUUCAAGGAAGAGUGCGAGCUGAUCAAGGGUUAAAAAUGUAGAUAUUGCCGAAUGUAUGUUCACUGUCCGAGGAACAGGCCGUGGAAGCUUUAUUGCUGGGUAAAGUGUCCAUAACCAGAGUGGAACACUUAUGGAGAGAUGUUUGGAGUGCUGUGGCAUGUCAGUACUACACCUUGCUGCACAGUGUAGAGCAAGAAGGAUACCUUGACCUGUCAAAUUCUAUCCACCUCUUCUGUGUGGGAUAUGUGUUCCUGCCUCGUCUGCGGGCAGAUCUGCAGCAUUUCACAGAGAGUUGGAAUAAUCACCCUUUAAGUACAGAGGCGAACCUGACACCUCACCAGCCGUUGCCUUAGCACUACACAACUGAUUCAAAUGAUCAAGUCAUCAUCAAGCUUCAAGUGGUAUUCAUGUAUUAAUUUGUGAUCUGGUAAUGUACAAGUCUAAUAAUGACAUUAUCUUCUAUUGUUUGUACUCAUGCGUCUGUUUUACAGCAUAAAGUACUUUGCAGCCACGUAGUGUGGAUACCAGGUUAUAUCAGCUGUGUUGGUGAACCCCUCCCGCAUCUGAACUGGCUGACACAGAGGGCACAGCAUGAUCAUAGGUAUGUUUUGAUGUGAGAGAGGAAGCCAGUCCCGUCAUCGCCACCUCACAAGAUAACCUUCGACCUGACUGGGAGCCCAAGGCUGGUUAGCAGACACCGCUAGAGACACUAUGUAAUUGUGAUGAACUGAGAGAAUAUUAGGGUAGCACUGUAAAAUCAUUAAUCAUAUGCUGUUUUCCCUGUUCCUCUGUUGUUCCCCUUUCCUUUCCUGUCUUCUACACCCCCCUCUCUCCCCACCUCCUCUUUCUUCCUCUUUUGUUUAUAAUGCACACCGUAUGUGCAUUGAAGAACAGAUUGAACUUGUAUUUAUGAUAUAGUAUUACAAUUAUAAUAUUUAUAAUGCAUGUAUUAUGUAUUUAUAACACCUGGAUAAUGAACUUUCAAUAAAGCGUUUCACAUUC